CCUACGGUAGUCAGCAGUGGGGAAUAUUGCACAAUGGGGGGAACCCUGAUGCAGCGACGCCGCGUGAGUGAAGAAGUACUUCGGUAUGUAAAGCCCUAUCAGCAGGGAAGAAAAUGACGGUACCUGACUAAGAAGCCCCGGCUAACUACGUGCCAGCAGCCGCGGUAAUACGUAGGGGGCAAGCGUUAUCCGGAUUUACUGGGUGUAAAGGGAGCGCAGACGGCUGUGCAAGUCUGGAGUGAAAGGCGGGGGCCCAACCCCCGGACUGCUCUGGAAACUGUAAAGCUGGAGUGCAGGAGAGGUAAGCGGAAUGCCUAGUGUAGCGGUGAAAUGCGUAGAUAUUAGGAGGAACACCAGUGGCGAAGGCGGCUUACUGGACUGCAACUGACGUUGAGGCUCGAAAGCGUGGGGAGCAAACAGGAUUAGAUACCCUUGUAGUC
rnacentral:rRNA from 1 species